GUCGGAGUGGCGAAAUGGCAGACGCGCCGGCCUUAGGAGCCGGUGGGGCAACCCGUGAGAGUUCGAAUCUCUCCUCCGACA
rnacentral:tRNA from 1 species